GGGGGUGUAGCUCGGUGGUGGAGUGCAUGCUUGGUGUGCACGAGGUCCUGAGCUCAAUUCCUAGUGCCUCCG
rfam:Camelus ferus unplaced genomic scaffold scaffold12191, whole genome shotgun sequence.